UACGGGAGGCAGCAGUGGGGAAUAUUGCACAAUGGGCGAAAGCCUGAUGCAGCUAUGCCGCGUGUAUGAAGAAGGCCUUAGGGUUGUAAAGUACUUUCAUCGGGGAGGAAAAAACAAAACUAAUAAUUUUAUUUCUUGACGUUACCCGAAAAAGAAGCACCGGCUAACUCCGUGCCAGCAGCCGCGGUAAUACGGAGGGUGCUAGCGUUAAUCAGAAUUACUGGGCGUAAAGAGCACGUAGGUGGUUUUUUUAAGUCAGAUGUGAAAUCCCUGGGCUUAACCUGGAACUGCAUUUUGAAACUGAAAUACUAGAGUAUCGUAGAGGGAGGUAGAAUUCUAGGUGUAGCGGUGAAAUGCGUAGAUAUCUGGAGGAAUACCUGUGGCGAAAGCGGCCUCUAAACGAAUACUGACACUGAGUGCGAAAGCGUGGGGAGCGAAAC
rnacentral:rRNA from 1 species